GCUGUUUUACAUCGUAAGCAUUUUUUACAGCUUAAAAUCUCAUGACUGUCACAUGACCAAAACAACAACCAUGGCGGAAGCGGUGAGGGAGCCUCGCAAAUCACAUAAACAUAAGGAACGCAAAAAAGGCAGCACAAAAACAGAAUCACCUGUGAAGAAUCGCACAGAAGACAAACCUCCAAUGGCUGUUGGUGAUUUGGAACCAGAGAAGCUUACAUUUGAAGAAACUCAACACCCUUCUGCAAAUUUGGAAGUGCCAGUACUGCAACAAACUGAUGACACUGUAUUUGAUGGUACAAAAGGAAAUAGUAGUAAUUGUCUUUCUGUAGCUGAUCUAGAAACUGAUGGUGCUGAAGAAUUAGGAUCUAAGCUAGAAGCAUUGUUGUUACAUGACCAAGACCUUAGAGAAUCUGACCCAGACCCAGAGCAAAGAAUGCAGAAAGAGAUUUCUGCAUUCAUGCAUGAUUUAUCAGGUCAAACACAGUGGAGUGGUCAUGAUCAGUGUAAUCAAAAUGUAGCAUUGAGCAGAGUAGAACUCUCAAGUUCAGGAGUGGAUGACAUUGUGACAGACGGUCUACCCAAACAGCAGAUUAAGCAUACAGUUGAACUCGAUGCAAGAUUACAAGUCACAGAUUUAGAACCAAAAGAAGAAUUUUCUGUAACUCAUUUACCCAUUAGUGAAGGCAUUGUUUUAGACCAGCAUCAAACUGACUGCACACAAAAGUUGCCCAAAGAAUCAAUAGUGACUGACAUGCAAGAUAAUCACUCUGUAAAACAACAUUUUGUGGACAAUUUUGAAAGUGGAGAACAUCUUAGUGUUGUACACUCUCAAAACAUGGAACAUUAUGGGGAUAUGAAUUUAAUACAGCAUCAGUCACCUGAUCUUGUUGAACAGCUGUCAGUGUCUAACUCUUUCAGUGUGCCUGCUUCUCUUCCAGCAGAAGAAACCCUCCCCUCAGCACCAGAGAGCGUUGAAAAGUCCAAUGAACAUUCUUUACAUUUACCUAGCAUUCAUGCAUCAGCACCUGAGCCUUAUUCUGAAACAGUUUCUGAGGAGACAGCCAUAAAGACACCUUUGUUUGUGGAUGCAAUUUCAUCAUCAGCACCGUUGGUAGAUGUUUCUCUUUCGACAUUUGUAGAGGCAAUAGAGCAGAAGGUUACUCCAGCAGAUUGUACACAACUUGCUACUCCAGCAGGUGAGUGCUCUACUCUUGAGACGAGAAGCAUACAAGCAGCAGAGGAAGCACGACGUCCAAAGUUGUUGUAUCCAGAGUUGAUGGAGGUUGGUAAUAGGUUCAGACCAUUGUCAGUUGAGGAGCUCACACAUCUUUACUACAACGUGGAAUUGCAGAACAACCCUCAGUUCAUCGAAAGCUUUAUUCAGAAUGAAGAAAAGAGAGCAGGCCACGAGUUCCAUGAGAUUUUAAUGAACUAUUUUCGGGCACGCAAGAGCUUGCUUAGCGUGGAGGAAGAUUUGAAAGCACUCCGACAGAAUUAUGAACGGGUGCAGGCAGAGCUGUGGAUUGUAACUCGGAACACUAUUCAAGUGGAGGGGCAGUGUGCAGAUGGCAGUAGGGUGACCAAACUACACACAUACGAGCAGUGUAAACUCAACAGGGAUGCUCUUACCAACAUGGCAUCCUGUCUGCAGUCUAUUCGAAGUGAAAUGCAGGGUGAUCUAGCUUUGUUUGCCUACUCUGCUCAGAUGUCAAGACUGCAGGUGGAGUCAUACAUACACUCUUUUUUUAUGAGCUGCCCUCAUUUCCGGGACAUGCCCAGAACAGCACCAGUUACUGCCACAGAGUAUACUGCAAGAGAAGAUGUUCAAGCACAGGCAGAAAGAUUGAAGGAAUGUAUCUCUGUGCUGUUUGUUUUCCAUCGCAAGCCCACACGGGACACAGAAUUUGUGGAAAAUAUUCGGAGAUGGACAGAACGUCUUGUAUCAGCUCUGUUGCGGGCUGCCACCUUUAAGGAUCAUCUUUUCAUCCUCAACCAUAUUCUGCGAGCACCAGCAGGAGUGGGACAAUGGGCAGCAACUUUAGUGCAGAUUCCUCCGCCGACAAGUCUUACAUUGCAGACUGCAGUGGGCAGUCCCAUCCUUGAUCAUGCUGUUACAUGUCUGGCCACAGUCCUACAGCCUGUCAGAGCCAGAGAGGCCUUUAUGUGCCACAUGCGUGUCAAUGUGACUGAAAACAGCCUGCAGCUGGAAAGAGCAUGGAUACUUGUCGACUCUGAUGGAGAAGAAGAUGAGGACCCAGCACAAGCCUGGUUACACCUACAUGAAAAUGAUGUCGUGGCAUUGCUGCAGCAGUUUCCACUGGAUGCUAUCUUUGCUUAUUUGCUGCAAGCUCCCAUGAAUGAAAAUGGCAUUGCUCAGUAUGACGUGCGUCGUUGCACCGAGCCUGUCAUGAUGCAGCUGUUUGCGUUCUGCACAACAUGGAUCAUGCUUCUGGGAGACGGCCUGAACACUUACAGCAUGGCUCGGUAUCGCCAAUUGAACAAGCGCCUGGGGCGGCUGAUAAGGCAAACAAUAUCCUUUGUCUCUGACCACUGGUUGAACUUUAAGACGUAUUAUGGUCCUCUGGCUCCAUCGGCCUCAUUGGAGAGGUUGCAGCUGGAAUUUGAUCAGCUGUUCAUGAGGGCAACUUACACAAUUCUCACAGCCCAAAAACUUGGUUCUUGGCAGUUCAUGGCUGAUAUGCCAUUCACAUGUUUAUCUGCUGGCAACAUUUGGCGGUUGCUAUGGUUACUGCAGCAGGCACAACCUGUUGACCUGGAUGCCCUUCCAUCUGUUGAGAAAUGCAAAGAGGAUAUGAAAGAUAUUGAAAGUCGUAGACAGCUGGCUGACACCCUGCAGAGUCUUCCUAGGUCAGAGUCUGAAUUUUUGCUGACCACAUUCGCCAACAUGGCAGCAGCUCGUCCGCUUGAAGAAGAUGAGUUCAUUGAAUGUGUCACUCUGCAGGUCUUUGAGAUUGCCUACAUCUGUGACCACACUCGUGAAUUCUGCUUCAAAAUUGGGCGACAACUGCUGUGUUCCAUAAUUCAGAAACACCCAACUGCCCUCUCCAUGCUGCUGAGAAGACUCCAAGUUGUCAUGCCACAGCUGGGAACGAUGGCACUGUACUUGUUCCAAGAAAUGCCUGCAAGUAUUUGGUCUCCUCAAGAUCCUGACAUGCUGCUUUUGAGACAAUGGCUUCUCAACUUUGACCUUACCACUACAGAAAACCAGCUUGCCCGUCUGGUGCUUGAGAGAAUGAACUGGGAUGUGUUUUCUGAGACAGGAAAGCUUGUGCUUGACAUACGCUUGCACAGACAAGUGGCACUACUUCUGAUUGAGAGCUACAUCAAGUAUGUCUCUGAGAGGAAAGCCAGCUUUCUUAUAAUAGAAGGCAUGAAGCAGAUGGCAGCUUUUGUGAGUCAGAAAAGCUCACGGGAGCAAGUAUUCAACAACUGGGUCUGGGCCCUAGCUCUUCGAUUAAAACUUCACCAUGAGAGUACCCUGAUGAUGUCACGGGCUGCAGUAUCUAAUCGUUUUCAGCCUCUUGCCCUUCAUCAAGAUCAGCAUUUACUUCCUAUUGUGAUGGCUGUGCGCAACAAGAACCCCCUGGCCUGCUACUUGGCAUUGACUAUGACAGAUGUGGGGCAUGACACUGGCCAGUUUCUUACAUCCGGUCUUGACAUGUUAUUGACACUGGUCACUUCCAGCCAGUUCUCCACAGUCAUCCAUGUUCUGAGCUGUGUUGUUCCUCUCUUCAUCGCCACUCCACAGUAUCUUCUAGAUAAUGAAAGUUUCCAGAAGAUUUUGCAAAUGAUCGUAACAGCUGAUGACAAUGUUCUGAAGGUGACAAAACUCGUUCUUGGGGUGGAGUUUCCAGGUGUGGUCACCCGUCAGUUCACCCAGAUGAUGCAGGCUAUGAUUUCUGCACGGCUGGAUGGCAGUGAAGCCUUACCAGUUUUACUCUUCUGGAUAAGAGCUGUCUUCAAAGUGGCCAAGUUUCUAACUGACAGGAACUGCUGCUAUAUUCUGGACAACCUGGUUCGCUGGGGCUAUCUACAGAAAGGAGCUCGGGAGAAGCUAGAUGCUCUUUUCCGUGACUACUUUAAUCAACGGCAAAGUGAGGCAAAGUCCCGUGGUGGAUUUUUGAAUUGGGUUGGCAGUAGUGGUGAGGGCCCACCUUCGUUGAUGGAGCAGGCAUCACUUCCAGAGUUUGGCUGGCUGGCAACACAAGUUCUUCAUGUAGAGAGUAUCUGUGAGGUAGAAUCCAGGGUCUGGCCAGGACUUCAGCACGAGCUUCUGUCUACAGCAGGGAUCUCCUUAGAGAUGGCUUUGAAGCAUGUGCAAGCGCACCUGCGGAUCCCCACAACACUGACAGUGGGGAGACUGAGCAUUUACAGAUGGGCACAGCAGGCUUUGGACACGGACAUCAAGCAUCCCCUUCUUCCUGUCAUAUGGCAGCGCUUCUUUUCUUUUUACCUUGGCCGAUCUUCUCUUGGCUCGCAGAUGCCUACACGUGCCAGUGUGGGAGAGCAGUUCUUCCAAACAACAGCCAUGUCUUCAAUGUUGAAAAAGAUGAAGAAGAGGCUUGCAGAGUGUGCACAGUUUCAUAUGAACUUUGACCCACAGGAAGAAGGCAGGAAGGGAGAUCAGCAACCUCCAACACCUGGAACAAAUGAAUCAGAAACAGACUCACAGCAGGCAAGUCCAGUGACAGAAGAAAGCCCUUACAUAGGGUCUCGUGAUUUCCAUCUGCAGCUGGCCAGGCUGUAUCAGACAUUUGUUUUAUGGCUGGAGGAACCCCGUUUACAUGGUUCUGACCUCUACCUGCCAGCUUUGCCACCACAGUAUGAAGCUGCACGCCUCAUGCAAAUAUUCAUGCCUGUAUUUAAUCCUUGGUUGGAGUUUGUGGAUUUUGAGCAGGCACAGUACGAAAUCAGCUGUACUGCUGCAACAUGGCGAAGUGUGGUCUCUGGCCGUCCCCAAAUGGAAGCACCACUUCAUAGAAGGAGACGACUUUCAGAGCAGUCAGCAACUGAGCGCAUUCGUCAGCGUCUGCAACGUUACAUCUCCCCCAAGCCACCACCACCUCUGCACCACAUCAGUCCUCCUGUGCCAGAAAUUCCUCCCACUCUCUUAUGGGACAAGAUGGCAGCAGUGCGUCUUCUAGAUGCUGACCUCAGCAUUCUAACGGAGUUUACCAAAUUUUUCUCAACACGAGCAGCACAACAGUGUGCCAUUGAUGGUGUGUAUUUAGACCUCCUUCCAGAGCAGUACUCCAAUAUUAUGAAGCUGAUACAAGUGUCAGCAGAAUGUAGAAGUCGUGUGAACCCCCUUCACAGAUGCUCUGGUCCUGCUGUUAUUCCAGUCCGGGUAGAAGAACGGGAACAAAACACCAUUGUCCAACGCAAAAUAGAUGAAAACAGAGCAGAGUACAAUCAGCUGAUUAUUGAAGCUGUGCUUCCUCCUCCUCAGAACAUCUGCAGUGCAGCUGUCCAUGUCGAAAACGCCAUCACGUUGCUGAUCAAGAUGUCACAGAAAACUGCAGAUGAGCGAGAGCUGGAGAUGCUCAGAGAUGUGGCCUGCACUCUUUUCUUUCACUUGGCAAUACAGGUUACGGAGGAGACAAACUUCUAUUUGCCAACCAAGCAGUUCUUUUGUUCCUGUGUAGAGAUCUUAGGCCAGGAAUUCGUGUCCCGGGUACCACAACAGACUCCCCUUAUUCUUCAGUUCUGCUUGGACAACACUAAUCUUGCAGGAAUAGUGUCCCCUCAUUUUGUGCCCAACAAUGCACCAGAGAAUUUUGUGCAGAUGUAUGAACAGCUGAUCACUGUGCUGCAACAACAGGAUCUCCAUCUUGUCUUCACUCUUUUAACGAAGUUUGAUGUAUGGGCAUGGCUUGAAGGGCACCGCCCCAGUGCUGCAGACAAAAAACGGUUUCUGGAAGUCUUGGGAUCAGCCUUGAUGUCCUGUGGGGCAGAACCAAGUACAGAUAACAAGCUAGUUUUUGAUGUUUACGUUGGGCACCUAAGGUGUGUUCUCAGACAGCAGUUUUCAGACAGUCUUUCGUCCAUUUUGCUCUUGCUGCUUGAAGGCUCCAGUAAUGAGGCGUUGCACACAAGCUGCUGGGAAAUGUUCCUCAUGGAAUGCUGUAAUCCCCACUCUGGUCCUGAGGUGCGGCCCAUACUACAGCCCUUCAGCAAGGAGCAAGUGGAACAGUGCAGCAACAUUCCUCUCUCAAUCCAGCUGUUGCAAGACUUGCAAAAAUUGCUGGGAGCCUAUUUCAUGCAUCAACGCACGAAAAACCCUCAGGUGCAGAACUUUGGUUUGUACCCUAGCUGGAGUCGCUAUGUUCCUUAUCUGUCCUUGCUGAUGGGUCUCCUGUCUAGAAGCUUUGCUACUAAAGUGAUGGUGAAUCUGCAAGACUUGGGCCCUUAUCGAGCCUUAGAGUGGAUAUGGGUAAAGCAGUGUGAGCUGUGGCGUGCAUGGAUAGAACCCUUGCCUAAUCCUGCUGCAAAUGCUAGCAGUUCAGCUCCAGUGAUGCAGCCCUGGACUGAAUCUGACAGCACCACGUCUGUGAUUAUUGUGGAGGAGUUUAAGUCUUCUGUACUUUCCGUACAUGCAAAGAUGGAAGAUGCAGUCCCGGAAGUCAGCAGCACUGUGCUGUCCCUCUUGCUUAUGUACUACAUGACUGAACUGUCUCAGCCAACUACGCAACCGUAUAUCAGCCAGGUCUUCAUAGGUGUUUUCUCACAGUUGCCAUGGGAACAGAUGAAACCUGACCCACAGUUGCUUAAGAUAAUGGCAGAGCUGAAGGAGAGAUGUGCCCCAGACUGCUUCCAGCUGCUUGGUCAUGUGUUACCAAAAGUAAACUGGCCACAACUGUUUGCGUAUUUCAAGUCUUAUCAUGAUCCUGAGAAAUCCCGUGAAAUACAAGCCUCUCUCUUGUUGCUUCUUAUCCAGUGUUAUGGUGACAGUGCUAUCCAACAGCUGCCUGGAGUAGUUCAGCUCCUUACUUCCUCUGAAUCCUUUGACUGGACGGGCCUGACAGUUGAGUCAUACCAUCUCGUCUCCUGCUGGUUCCUGAAUGUCUGUCAGCCACAGUGGGUAUUGGCACAGCGGUCAACUUUGCCAGCAGUUGGUUUUAGGCUGAUGAAGAUUGCAGCCGAAUUCACCAUAGAAGCCAGUCAAGCGUGGACAGCAGAGAUGGCAACCAAACGUACUACAUACAUCCACUGUGUCGCACAGCAGCUGUGUCAAGUGACCUACCUGGCAGACACUGAUAUGGAAGCUUUGCAAACUGUGAUGGUUAAUCUCCUUUCCGAAAUUGAGUCAGUGGAAUCAGCAGUGGCAGAUGUAAGAUGCCAGGAGGAGGAAUCGCUGGACCUGAUGAAGGAGAUACUAGGGCUGCUUAACAACAGCAACCCUGAGGGGACCUCCCAGAAUCUGCUGCUGCAGACAUUGUGCCAGUGGCUACACUCCUCUCCUCAUAGCAUCCUCCUGACACCAUGCAUCAAAGCAGCAUCUCGCUGCCUGGCAUCGCUGUCACAGAUGGCAGUCAUUACCGAGACCUGCAUCCAGGUUUACUUCAUAGCCUGCAAUGGCGAGGAGACACCUAACCGUGCAGAGAACACUAUGGGCUGGGGUCACAUUCUGUCUGUCUUCCAAGUCCCAGAACUGAACACCACUGAGUACCUUAAAGAGGCGGUGAAGAAUGGUGCUUACUUGCUGCUGUACACUGUGUUGCUGCACAGACGCCCUCUGUGCCGGAAUCUUGAAGAUGAGCUCCAGCUCAUGGAAGACAUUAUUCUUUGGACUUCCCAGGUUACUCCCAGUGCCAACAAUGAAGCCAAGCUUUUCCUUUGGUGGAAUGAAUUUUUACAAAUCUGGCUUAGGCAGCUGGACUUUGCUCCAUCUUUGUUGCGCUGCGUAAAUGCCGUGCAGCGGUUGAUCCGCAUUUUUCAUCAGAUGGGAGAAGAUCGUGCGUCAUCAGGAUUUUUUGGUGUCCUUGGCCUGGGGAAACGCUCUCUGUUUUCUUUACAAUUUCGCCUUGCUGUACGAGUUUUGGCAGCUUUUCUUUCAAGUCAGCUGUUGAGUGAGACAACAGUUCGCGUGAAGCCCACUGAUCCCCUGAGUGAGCUGCCAAUGGCCAAGCAGUCUCGUGUUGCUCUGACUUCCCUGCGGACCAACAGAAUGUAUGGACCAUUCAAAGAGAGUGUGGAAAACAUGAUUGGGUUUGUACACCGGACAGAUUACACAGUACGUGAGUCCUUGGUCCUGAUAAAAGAAUUGGCGAGAACACUGUAUCCGAAGUGCGAGUUCCUCCAGGCCACUUUUCUUUAGCAGAACAAGCCUUCAUUUUUCACUGAAUUAACUCAGAAGUAGUUGUGUCACCAUUUUGUGCAUGCCUCCUUCAAUGCAUGUCUGAUUUUUUAAUUUUUAAACAUGCAGAAUAUUUUUGAAGAUUUCAUUUAUGAAAUGAACUCUGUGAAAAGAAGGAUAACCCAGCUAAAAGAAUAUAUUUGAUGUUCUAAUGGUAUGAAACUGUGUGAUUAAAAUGUAGGUAUAAUCACUUUCCAUUAUGAAGUCUUAAAGCAUUGACUACAAAAGUUUCAGAAAUGAAGGAAUAUUAUCCAAAAUUAAUGAAAACAAGUGAUCAUGAAUUGUCUUCCAGCAGGGUAAAACUGUAUGAAGAAUUUUAUUGGGUCUCUGUAACCAUUACAUAUUACUAACAGAAUGAAAAAGGCCAGAAAAAGGCCAGCUGGGGAAUUGGAGGUAGGGUGAGAGAUAUGUUUCUGUCUCUGAAUAGUCACUUUGAUAAUACAAAAAUAAAAUGUAAAUUUAGUUUUUGGCAACUUGUCACAUUAAAAAUGUAAAUGGUGCGGAUGGUCUACUAGAUGUCUGACGUUGUGCAAAGUCAUUGUGUGGAUGACGAUGUGACACAUUUUACUGAGAUGGAUAAUUGAAAGAGUCUGAAAUGACAAAACGUUCUGCUGUGUCAGUGUAUUAUGUUGUGACCUUGCUACUGGCUGUGGAAAUAGCUUUAUGGACGCUCUUGAAAAUGGUAGACCCUCUCAAAGGCCACAGACAGUCUUACUGGACCUUAGUGUUUGAUGGGUCUUAUCUUUAAACUGCUUGAGGUGACUCCUGUGCUAAGCCCAUCCAAGCCUGACAGAGGUACGUGUUCAGCUGGGAUUGGAAUGCAUGGUAUCUUUCCUUCUGCAGUCUUGUUAGAAUUGUUUUGUAUCCAUUCCUGUAAGAAAUAGUGUGUAUGUGUGUGUGUGAAAUAGAGAGUUUUGUACAUAUAUGUGUUCGUGUGCAGGUGUUUCUGAAAUGAUGGUUAGUAGAAGUUGCUAUUCUUUAUUUGUUUCUCCCCACUCUUUAUUUUAAGCAGUGGCACAGGAGUGUCAACACAAAUCUUGCCACUAAACCUUUGUAGUACACAUGACUGAUUUGAUCCUGUCGCAAUAACGCUUUGUAUCCUGCAAUACAAAAUCAGCUGGAAAUGUGGCUGGCAUGUGCCACAUUAAAUUACUAUUUAAUAGCUGGAUUGCAAGAACUUUUAAUAUUUUCUAUAUUUUGUAGGGUGCCAUAGAAUACAAGCCAUGUACUGUUGACUAGAUUCUUUUGGUGUUUUCCUUUGUAGGAAUCCUUGGUAUAAGCUUUAUCUUGGUGGCUGGUUCAAAGGAAAGGGAUGCCAUUAGAAGGAAUUGAUUUGAUCACUGAGGUUGUCUGUUGGUGAUGCUCACCUCUUGAAGAGUUGAAUAUAGUGCAUUCUCAUAACUUCGGAACUUACCUCAUCACUUCUUGGUUAUAAAAUGUUAGUUCAUUUUUUAAAGAUAUUUCCAUACUAGCUUUCUGUAGAUGUCACCUUAGUUACCACUUAAAAGAAGAAAGGCAACAUUUGUGUUAGCCUGUGCAUUUGAUUUUGGAACCAAGAUAUUGGCCUGAGCUUCAGCUAGUCCUGUGAGACUUCCUGUCCAUGUUUGCAGUUCACUGUUCACAUUGAAGCCUAUGGUGUUUAAAAGCUAUCACUGCUGAAAUUAUUUUUUCAUGUGCCAUUUUUGUUGUUAUUUAUCCUGUAGUUUUUGUUGAAAACAGUUGUAAGCAGAAUGUGAUAAUUUGCUUCUCUUGUUGCUGGGGAAAAAUUUAUUGAAGGGUAUAAUGUAGCCAGAUCACAUUUUGUUUUGAAAGUUCAUGUACAGAUACAAGGUGUGUGGUAAAUGCUUCUAUCCCGUUCUACAGAACUAUAAUAAUAAGGCCUUAUCUUUCAAGUGUUAACAUUCUUCUUGGAAAUUAGAAGUUUAAAAGUAUUUCAUCGAACUUUGUCAUGAGGAGUGAAUUUAGUCAAAUGCCGUGAGUGUGUGUACAUGUGUGUUUCUGUUCAUAAUUUGUGAGUGAAUUUGGAACUUACUUUUGUGAAGAGUUCAACAGCGUGUUCAAUUUUUGUACGAGUACUUUUUGAUGAAAUGCAAUAUUACUGUCUUUAAUUGCCACAGAUCAGGUGGGCUGAGGGAAUUAAUAAAACAAUUGUGUACAAGAAAGGUAAAGAAUUGUGAUCUUUUUAUACCCAGAAAGUUAGCAUGAUCACUAUAAGAUUGCCAAAUGAACAUUCAAAAAAAGACACAGCAACAAAGAAAAGGCUGCAUAUGAAUUAUUCUUUUGUGAAGCACUUAGCAAUGCAGAACCCAGCGCCAGAAUGCUGUACUUGAUAAGUGUUUUGUCAUGAAGUAAGAGCUGGUAACAGUAACAGUUUCUUAGAAUAGUUUGCACAAAUCAUGAGAAGAGCGAGGAUCAGUCAUGGUCAUGAUCUGUUGUGAAUCAAAUAUGAAAUACACAAAAUCUGUUAAA
rnacentral:misc_RNA from 1 species